AUUGAACGCUGGCGGCAGGCCUAACACAUGCAAGUCGAACGAGUGGCGGACGGGUGAGUAAUGUCUGGGAAACUGCCUGAUGGAGGGGGAUAACUACUGGAAACGGUAGCUAAUACCGCAUACCAUCGGAUGUGCCCAGAUGGGAUUAGCUAGUGGGGGGGGUAACGGCUCACCAAGGCGACGAUCCCUAGCUGGUCUGAGAGGAUGACAAUCCACAAGGUAACUGAGACACGGUCCAGACGCCGACGGGAGGCAGCAGUGGGGAAUAUUGCACAAUGGGCGCAAGCCUGAUGCAGCCAUGCCGCUUGUAUGAAGAAGGUCUUCGGGUUGUAAAGUACUUUCAGCGGGGAGGCGUUACCCGCAGAAGAAGCACCGGCUAACUCCGUGCCAGCAGCCGCGGUAAUAC
rnacentral:rRNA from 1 species